GGCAAAAAUUUUUCAUUCCCUCCUUAGUUUUUAUUUGCCUCCAAUACAGUAAAAAAAAAAUUAUUUCAUCCAAAAAUCUCUUUUUUCCCCCAAAAAUACAUUUUCUCGGCCCUAAAUCGCUACUUUGCUUUCGGAUUUUGGAUUGAGUUCUUCUUAAAAUUGAACGGCUCUUCAAUUUUCCUAGCUUUAAUUGCAGUCGAAAGUGGUAAAAUUACUUCUUCCAGGGCUUAAAGCUAAGAAGAACUUUGUGGUAGUUCAUACAGGAUGUCAUGGAUCCUGGUCAUGGUAUAAGAUAAUAGAAUUGGUUAAAUCUUCAGGGCAUUAUGUCACAGCUCUCGACUUGGGUGCAUCAGGAACCAACAUCAAACAGGCCGUAGAAAUCCCAACUUUUUCUGAUUAUGUCAGUUCGCUGAUGAAGUUGAUGGCUUCACAUUCUGCUGAUAAAAAAGUAGUUCUUGUAGGCCAAAGCUUUGGUGGACUCGCCAUCUCUAAAGCGAUGGAAACUUUUCUGGGAAAGAUUUCAGCUGCAGUAUUUGUCAGUGCUCUUAUGCCUAGUCCAACUAUCGAUGCAGCCAUUGUCUACACUGAGGUACCAAUAUGAUUUGUUAUCUUUAUUUAAACUCUUAUAAGAUCGAAACUAAAUAUACAUCGUUAUAGUCAUGCGAUGUAGUAUUACCUGAACCGGAUUACCGCGUUACAUAUGACAAUGAACCUGCGAAUUCUCCAACUAGCCUCGUCCUAGGUCCAAAGUUCAUGGCCACUAAACUAGUAUGUCCAUUAUAUUUAUAUCUCGUGGAGGAUAUUUCUAAGGAGAUAGUUCUUUAAAAAAAAAGGUAUGGAUCAAUUAGGCGAAUAUACAUUGUUGCUGCAGAAAGUAAAGCUUUCAAGAAAGAAUUUCAACAAUGGAUGAUUGAAAAUAAUCCGCCGGAUGAAGUGGAAGAGAUCUCAGGAUCUGAUCACAUUGUCGUGUUAUAGUUUGCUUUUGGAGAUUAUGCUUGCACUUUGCUCUUUAAUUGAAUUGUCUGCAGGAGUUAUCAUUAACAGCAAGAACACCUCUAUCUUCGAAAAGUAAUUCUAUGAAUGUAGAUGCAAGGUCACAACGUAUGUUAUCCCUCUCUAUCAGUUAUAUGGAGUCAAUAGGUUUAUCUUGAUCCCACCCUCCCAGUCAAAGGUGCAGGUUUUCUAAAGAACAAUUUUAUCUAUUUCAAGAUUGCUUCAUAGAAUGGAUAAUUUGGUAUGUCCGUUCAAAAUUUAUAUGUAUUUGUUAUUGCUUUUGAUAUUACUACUGGUCUUGAAUGAAUAUAUAUGGUUACAAACAAAUGGUGAAAUAAUCUCAUGUAUAUAAAAUUGUUAGCUUUACGUUUAACUAUGUAAGGCAAUACCAAUGAUCACUAGACCAAUGGAACCCAUGGGCAAUAUGGGCUAAGCUACCUCUGCUAAAAGGCCCCAGUAUAUGUUAGUUGCAUGAACCGAGGAAAAUCUAAGUGAAAACUAAAGCAACACGAGGCUAUGAGAUGUUUUAGGAACAGUUUCCCUUCUUUCAGUAUUCAUGUCAUGCUAGUGAGCAUGAGCUCAGAAUGUCAGAGGAAUUUUUUUGGGUUUAAAAAAAUAUUUUAAUUGAAAAAAAACUUAUUUUUUAAUAAAAUUGGCCAUUUAGCCGUUUUGGGCUCCCAACGGUCAUAUAUCCCUUGAGUGUCAUUUUAUAAAAUGUGUUUCGUGUUACUUAUUUUUCAUUUGAAUAUACUUGAUUAAUGGUAGGAACAAAAAUUGGGAAGACCUAUAUGUCGAUAUUCAAAUACUUGUCCAUAUUCAAAUUUCAGUUCUGGUGUUGAUUUAUUCAUGUCUAAUUUUACUCCUCUAGCUAGCACAGAUGAAACUGUACCAGAUGAAAAAGAAAAGGUUCAUAUAUUAAUUGAUGUCUGAUGAUCACUUUGAACCCGUGCACUGCUUAAAAUUGGAUCACUGCUAAGAAUUUUUGAAAGAGUAGGCAACAUUGAAAUUGGAUCAUUGUACCUAUUCAGAGUUUCCUUCAUUUCCAGAAACUUAGAAUUCAGCUCAUCAUUUUGGAUUGAACAUUUAUGUUCAAAGGUUAUGUUUGUGCUUUUAGCAUAUUGGUUAGUUUAUUUGAGCCAAGAAUUCUCUUAAAUUGGAUCUUUUUGCAAAUUUGUUAAUAACAUCUGAAUCUUCAGUUAUCAUUUUCCUUUAACUUAAAAGUUGAUCUCUCUGAAGUUUUUAAACCUCUCAAGGAGGAAUUUCAUAAGUAUGGUUGUGAAUCCUAAAGAUGAUGCCGUUGUACCAAAGAAGUUGGAUCAAGAUGGUGCCUGGAGGAAACAUCACAGGCUCUGGACUGUUUCAGAAGUCAGAAAGUUGAUUGAUGGAGUUGCCCAAUAUGGAGUUGAAAGAUGGAGUCAUAUAAAAAAGCUUUAUUUCUCAUCAUCUGGUCAUAGAACACCUGUGGAUCUCAAGGUAAGCACAAUGGUCACUAUCAGGACAAGUCAAGAAAAACUAUGCAUCAUCUAGUGUUUGCUUGUUACUUACUUGAAGUUGGCACUUUGUUGCUUAAACUUCUUGCUGGAUAAAUGGAGAAAUCUUCUUAAAGCAUGCUAUCUCCAGAAACAAAGCAAAAUAACGAUAAUAUACUGAGGAGUGUUCGACGCUCGACUUUUCCUUUGUUUAGAGCGCUUGCUUUUCUAAUGAUAGUGACUGCAUUGUAAUUGAUGCCGGAAAAGGGUAAACAUAAUCUGUCUUGGCGACCGUUGCCCAAGUCUGUCCUUCAUCGAGUCAGUGAAUUGGCGAACAUGCACCCGUAUCCAAGAAACCAGAGAUGCAAGAGUUCCCGUUCUCCAUGUGCCUCAUCUUCUCUAGUAUAUUUUGAAACAAACGACAUAACUAGUGUUUCUCUAGCUUUUAGCAUUAGUAUUUGUGGUAUCUUUUAUGAAUAUCCAAGGUUUGAAGCUUAUCGUUUGAGACAAUAUGUUGAACAAUAUCGGAACUUUGAUCAUUAUGUUAUAACUAAUAUCAGUCUUUUGUG